CGGUCUUUUAAUUUGUUCUUUAAAUGGUUGUAGUAAAGUUCUAGUUGCAGGCUCUUGCAAGUCAUUUUUAGGAUGACAAUAUGACUCUCUGUUGUCAAGAAGAGUUGAAAAGCAGUUACUUUAAUCAAUCUCGCAGCACUUUAUUAGGAGAAACGGGGAUUAAACGUUUUAAAAGUCUAAGAGAGACUUUUUUUUGCCAGUCUGUACGGCUAUUAACUAAAACACUAGAUGCUGCAUGCGUACUCUACCUCCUUUGCUAUUUUGUGCUUGCUUAGUGAUGUGUAUACAGUAUACAGAUUGUACAGUUUGUGCACUUAAUGUCAAUUGAAGACUUUAGGGGGCGCCUCCUCCCUCCCAUUCUCACAUCCAUUCGCAAGUGUAGGACUCCUGCGUGAUUUAUUUUGAUGCCUUGACUGCUUUUGGUCCUUUUCCAGAGGGCUCUCUCGCGUCUACGCCGCACACCUUCAUUUUAUCGUUGACGCCUGGCUUGUUUAGAGGCAAUUAGGGAGCUAAUUGUGCUAAAUUUCUUUACGGCUCUUUGCAGCAAAAAAAAUAAAUAAAAGUCAAGAACGCAUGGCUGCAUGCCCGAGCAGCUGCUGGCGUUUAUGGCGGGGAAAAGCGGGGAGCACGUCGUCGGGGGAUCGGGGAAGGUGGAGGCUGGAAAGAAGAGGAAGGUGUAGGGUAGACGCCAGUUUGUUGCUAUGAUAAGCAGCGAACAAAUAAUAACCCCUCUGAAGCCCUGCGGCCACGCAUCCCCAAAGAGUCACAAUGAAGGCGAUACAAUGAAUUCUCGCAAUGUUGCCCUUCAUCCUUUGCCUCGUCAGGAUCAUAGGUGUGUCUGCAUCAUAUCCCCCGCGAUAAACGAGGCUUCACUGUCUAUCCCCACGUCGACUCCAUCUGAGAGUGUGCCAACAUGGCCCGGGGCUCGCGGGUGACAGCUAGCAUGUGGCGCAGCUCCUCUGGAGUGGAGAGCUUCCAAAGGACCGCCACAUGCCAACUCGCACUCCGAGUUGGGGAUUUGAGCCGUCUCGCUGCCAACAAAAGGCGUCGGAAGCAAGCGGCCACUUCUUCCCCAGACUCCCCGUCGGGCUGCACGGAUGGACGCCUCUCGGACGGAAUCCCGCCGGCCGUUUCUCUCGCACGGAAAGGAAGAGCUGAAGGCUCGGGCAGCUGGCGGUUGGAAAGGAUCGGGCGAGAGGGAAUACCGAUGCGCAAGCGUGAGGAAUAUUCUGAACAAAGUCAACGAGGAUGAGCCUUGAGUGGCUAUAGUCUAUGAAAUGACGGUGACUGUGAUGCAGAUACACGAACCACUUAGCUCGUGAACAAAGUCGAGUCACGUGAAGGACAAGAGGGCGCCAUUUUUUUUUGUCUCACUGCUGCUUUAUUGUGUUUAUAAUAGCACAGCUGAUGAUAAAUGUUCCGCAGAGUGCUCAUCCGAUCAAAUAUUCAGACCCCACCACCCGCAACCCCCUCCAUCACAUCCACACCUUCUUCAUUUGCUUGGUGAGGAAAAGCAAUAAAUUCCCUUGUGGAACAGCAGUCAUGUCAUAUUUAUAUGAAUAUGCAAAAGCAUGGCUGGCACAUUAAGAUGAAUUUGGCCCAUAUGCGCUUUUAAGCACUUUGGGUGUACUUGUGUUUGGCCGGGUUGAUCACGUGACUGGACACGUCAUUAGUUUCACAGAUAUGCUUUCUAACUAACAUUUUUUGAAGGGACUCAAAAAGGAUUAACGCACGGAAAAGUUUUGACUUAGAAAUAAGUGAAGCAAUAUUUGUUUUUAUUUUCAUUUUACGUUUUUUUUUCCCCCUUCAGCUCAGGUGGACGGUGUGUGUGUGUGGGUGUGUGUGUGUGCGCCCCCCGCAGAGCCAACCCCUCCCGGGUUAAUGAUGACAGGAAGCAGGCCAGAUGGCAGCGGUGCACGACCUCCUCUCGGGAGAGCCGGCAGCUGAGGAGGAUGAAAGAUGCCAGGUUUCAAAUCGGGCGGCCUCAGAGGAGCACAGCUCCCCAACCCCCCCCCCCCCCCCCCCCCCCAUCUUUGAUGUCUGACAGCCAACGGAGGGACAAUUGGAAGUAGUGUGAGCCAUCCACAAUUCCUGUACUUUUAUGUGGGCGUGCAUAUGUUACCGAUAACAUAUUCAAGGCCGUGUGGCAAUGAUAAUAUUACAACACAGUGAACGCCUGCUCUGCAAAGAGACCAUACUAUGUAACAUUCUACACUCGAGGCUGGUCGUCUGCAUUCAGAUCGUGAUGGCGGAAUCAUGAACCCCACCAUCUCUUUUAUCGAAUAGUAGCUACCGCACAUGUUCAUAUUUUAACAAUGCCAGUAAUUUUUAUUUUAUUUUUUGGCGCCCCAGGGCAGAAACACAUCACAAAUCAGACAAUGAUAAAAUUAUGUCCUGUCAGGCUCAGCAGGAUGUUGACGUGCGCUUGAAAAGUCGACAAUAAGAUGAGUAUGGAGAUUUGGAGACGGAAGCUAAAAAGUUAUGCGCCAUUUUAUCUGAUCUGAUAUUGACGUGUGAUGUGCUACCAUGAGAGCUAACGAGGUGACAUAGAUUGUCUCACCCCUACUUCAUAUUAUCCACCUGUUUUAUUGUUGGCGGACUUCAAACUUUUCCUUCCAUCUGAAUAAUUGUUGUAUAGUCAUAAAAUUAUUCUUAUUAUUAUGAGAAUGCACCUGCGUACAAAAUAAGGCUGGUUCUCCUGGUUCUGAUUCUCUUGGUUCUCCUCCUCCAUCUUCUGUCAGAUAGGUUGGUGGUUUAAUUGAUGGCGCUCAUUAAGGGGUGCACACCACAUAAAAAAUGGCAGCAAUUAUCAUUUAUCUUGAUAAAUUAUUUAGUGGGGAUCAUUUUCCUGCCUGGUCGGGGAGCGGGAGGCGUAGUGGUGGGCGGCGGGAGGCGGAGGCGAGACUGCAAUUACACCUUUUGGCUCAUUUGAGCAAUGUGUAAAAACCUGAAAUGUUUGAGGUUAGCUAUGCUAACAUGUAGCCACUUAGCGCCUACC